rnacentral:rRNA from 1 species
AACGCGAAGAACCUUACCAACCUUUGACAUGUCCAGUAUGGGUCUAGGAGACUAGACCCUUCAGUUCGGCUGGCUGGAACACAGGUGCUGCAUGGCUGUCGUCAGCUCGUGUCGUGAGAUGUUGGGUUAAGUCCCGCAACGAGCGCAACCCUCAUCUUUAGUUGCCAUCAGGUAAGGCUGGGCACUCUAAAGAAACCGCCGGUGACAAGCCGGAGGAAGGUGGGGAUGACGUCAAGUCCUCAUGGCCCUUACAGGUUGGGCUACACACGUACUACAAUGGUGGUGACAGUGGGUUGCGAAGCCGCAAGGUGGAGCCAAUCCCCCAAAAACCAUCUCAGUUCAGAUUGCACUCUGCAACUCGAGUGCAUGAAGUUGGAAUCGCUAGUAAUCGCAGAUCAGCACGCUGCGGUGAAUACGUUCCCGGGCUUGUACACACCGGUAUCUC